rnacentral:tRNA from 3 species
GGCCCCAUCGUCUAGUGGUGAGGAUUUCUGACUUUCGAUCAGAAAACACGGGUUCAAAUCCCGUUGGGGCUA